UGCAGUGCCCCGGUGGAAUGGGUUAAGAAAGGCUAUUCUAGUUUACCUCAAAACACAACUCAUUCAACUAAAAUGAGUUGAUUAGUUGAGUCUGGUGUUAGUGCUAAGUUGGAACUGUAUUAGUGUGCAGAAACAUAUCUGGUAAGACUUGAACUUUUAUGUUCUGAAAGUAUAACAGGCAGAUUUGAAAGACAAUAAUUGUUUGCAUUAACAUUUUAUUUUCCGGUCUCAGUAUUUUCGGAUCUGACCUAGCCACCCAAUUAAAUUGGUGCGGGAGAGGGCAUCAAGACGCGACAUGUGAAGGACAACAUAGUGGUGUCAGUUCUUAGAAAUGCAGCUCUGUUAGAAAUGACAGAGGCUGAUGUAGAGAAACCUGUUAAAUUGGCUCCGGCUGAGCCAAGACGGAGCAACAGGGAGGCGAAAUAAGGCCCAGUGGACUAAUGGAAGAGAGCAGAACAAGAAAGUGAUGAAAGUCGGGUUCAAGUCUGCCAGCAGACUUUUGUUGAAUCCCAAACGAACCCCUUGCCACCACCAACUUGCUCCAUUGGCAAGGGAAUGAAUAAACCCUUCAACUUUGGGACACACUCGUGACUUGAAUGAGUAUAAAAUGUAGCUCUACUAUGAUGAGACUGCGAUGCUGAUAUGAGCCCUACAUGCAUGAUGCCCACAG